CCCCUGCAUUCGAAAGUGAUCAUGAGCUGCCCGUGCCCUGGUCAUUGGUAGUGCAGGGAGAGGAACUGCCGAGAGCACUUCCCCGUGUUUGGAGGGUCCACUCCUGUCUCUUCCAAACCCUGGAGCUUUCCCACACCUCCUCCCUCCCACCACGUCUUAGAUGGCUCCUGGUGCCUGGCAUCAUCUAGUGGGUUGUGUUGCUCUUCUCCCUGGCCCAGGGCAGUUAUUGUGAGACAUGAGGGAAGGGUGUGGGGUGAUGGGUUUGGCCUCAUGGAGCAGAAGGGCUGGGUGUGGAGCUGAGAUAGGGCUGCCCUGCUCCUUCCUCCCGGAAGCUUUCUCUGCCUCCACACCUCUCCUUCCACGUCCUUAUCCAGCCCCUGCACCAAGCUGAACCUGUGGAAAUUGUUGCCUGACUUGUUUCCUGGCUCUCUUUGCUGUGGUCUCAAGGGCAGUGUCUGAAUUUUGUUCCCUACUUUGUUAUGUCUGCCAGAUGGUCAGUAUUCUGACAGUGUGGGACAAAGGAAAAACGGCAGCCUGGGCAACCCCGCCUCUAUAAGAACUAAAAAAUUAGCCAGGCAUGGCGGUGCAUGCCCCUGUAGUCCUAGCUUCUCAGGAGGCUGAGGCAGGAGGCUCUCUUGAGCCCGGGAGGACAAGGCUGCAGUGAGCCAUGACCAUGCCACUGCACUCAGCCUGGGCAACAGAGUGAGACCCUGUCUCAAGAAAGAAAAACGAGAAAGGGAGAGUCCCUCCACUGUAAGGAGAUCGGGUUCAUUACAUUUUGGGGUGUUGGAGAAAAAUACUGAGUCAGCACCUGUGUGGGAUUGGUGGGAGCAGAUUUGGUGUUUUCCACCCCUUCACAGGAUUCUGAGGUAACUCAUUUCUGUUGGCCUUGGCCUUGUAUGGGGAGGAUUUCCCUCCAGCCUUGUAUGGGGAGGAUUUCCCUUGUAUGGGGAGGAUUUUCCCUCCAGCUUGUGGGAAAGGAAUCAAGGACCAGAGACAGGCAGGGGAGAAGAUCACUGAGGGAUUUACGGCAGCAGCCUCUGCACGGCUUCCCCACGACCUCCCCAGCUGCUUGCUGGACGCUGCUGGAGAAACAGCACAUCCCAAGAUCAUCAUGGCCCCAGCAUCCUCUUGAACUUAGUAACAGUUGGCCUGACAGAUGAAGCGGAUAUCAUCCCUGCCUUAGAAGUUCUCUAGCCCCUUUCUUAGAGAUAAGCUGCUAUUUCAUUCCUAAAAGAAGUCAUGGCUGUUCAGGUGAGAAGAACGGUUUAGUCAGCAUCUAUGCAACACUGUAGAGAUGCUUAGUGAGAGGUGUUGCAGGAGAGUGGCAGACCGCAGGGCCCGAGGUAAGGUUUCUUGUCCAUCUCUGGAAUUUUGGCUUUUUGCACCCUGUAAAGUCACGUCCCCUUUUUUUCUGGUGCUUUGGUGGUGACGUAGGGAGAGGUGAGGAUGAGAAGAGGAGCCAUGUCCUAUGGAUUCCCAGAUCCAGACUCCUCUUCCCUGGGAAAGCUGGAUUGGAGCUGGCCCCUCCUUCUGUGCCUUCAGGGGCUGUGGAGGAGGAGGCCCCUGCAGGGAGCUGCCUGGGGCGAGCGCUGGGGGCUUUUCCUGCAGUGCAUUAGCAGCAUGUCAUAAUGGAAAGUGGCUGGAUUUCUUUCCAGUUGUAAUCAAUGGUUAAGAUUUAACCUAGCAACAUUGUAGGGGUACACAGCCAAAUGAUUCAGGAAAAAAGAUGCAGGUUGAGUCUGGAGGAAUCCCUGUGCCAGCUUCCUCAUGCUCCCUCCCUCUCUCAGAAAUCACAUGGAACCCAUUCUCCCCUCAGCAGUGAAAAUGCAUUCAGCCUGUGUGCAGUGUUUCUGCCCAGGGAAGCCCAGUAGGGCCUCCAUGCCCGGGGUGUUUACUGGGAUCUGGUUAUGUAGACACCACCUGCCUAGCACGCACCAAAAUUCCAGACUUUCAGGAAAACAGGUGCCUGUGCCACAUUAUUUGCACGGAGAGACUGUGUCCAGUGAACGGUUCUGAUCAGUAAACUGUUGACUAGGAACAUCCCGAGAGCCAAGUUCCCAGAUGCCAGCCAAGGGCCAUCUGACCUGUUUUGAAUCUCAAUUUCCUGAUACAGAAAACAAAGGUAGGGCAUAAUUGAUUUUUACAGACGUGACCCCAUGAUCCUGCUCUCUAGUCCCCAGAUUUUUCCAGGGCUUUUGUCAGAGGUGUUUCCCCUUUGAUUCCCCUUGGUGGUUAGGUUUUAUGGGAUUUUACAGGACAGAUGGCAGCUGCAGGAGUCUUGUACUGUCCCUGACUUGGGUCAUCCCACAGGCCCUGGCACCAUCCUCCUGCCCUUCCUGGCUCUCCUGUCUGUUUCUGCUCCUGCAUCCGAAAGUGAUCAUAGGCUGCCUGUGCCUAGGUCAUUGAUAGUGCAGGGAGAGGAACGCUGAAAGAGGUUGUCCCCGUGUUUGGAGGGUCCACCCUAUCCCAUCCGAACCCUGAAGCUUUCACACAACUCCUGUUGCUCUCCUGCCAGCCCUUGAGGAGUCCGGCGCUUGCUUGGCUGCCACAUGAAAGAUUGUCAGCUGACCUCUGUCCUGUGUGCCCAGUGGCCCCAGGUGACGUGUCUUCAAGAAGAGGCUGAGCUGCGGUGCUUGUAAGAGUCAUGUGCUGUUCCUGGGGCUUGGAUGAUGUAGGGGAAGCAAGGUGAAAGUGGUAUCCCGUGGUUCCACGUUCUGUCCUGCUGUGGGGCUGUCCCUCACAUGCUUUCAGUGGCUGUUGCAGAGGAAGAGCCUCCGGAAAUCUGCGUGGGUAAAGUGAGCUCCCCGGGGGAACCGUCCUCCUCCCUUGAGCGCUGGUGUGUCCAUAGUGUGCUGUGAUCUGGAUUAGCAGUGAGUUUUUCUUUCAGGGUGUGUGUGUAUGAUGUUAGGACCAUAUGCUCCUGACCUUUUCCAACCCAAAAGCGUUUCCAUUUUUUUAAUGCUGGAAGUGUCUUAACUCCUUUUGGGGUCUUAGAAGGACACACGGUGGCCGUGGCUGGGCCUCUGCUCAGCUGGGCUGCUCUCCCUGCCUCAGGCCCUUGACACCAGCCUCCCUCCCUUGCUGGCUCUCUUUCUGUCCUUCCCUGCUCUUGUAUCCAAAAGUGAUCAUGGGUUGCCUGUGUCCCGAUCAUUAACAGUGCAGGGGUAGGAGUGCUGAAAGACAUCUUCCCUGCGUUGGUCCAGCCUUCCCUUUCAAACCCUGGAGCUUUCCCACGCUGCAGCCUUUUUCCAACUAGGCUUUCAGAGCUUGGGCCUUUGUGGGCCCAUGUGAUGUGGUGACUAGACCCACCCCCUGACUUCUGAGGGUUCAUUUUGUCUUUUCAUGUUAGGGAUCCUCCUGCCAGAAACCAGUCUGCAUUUCUCUCUGGGCCCCACGCUGGAAUGAAUUCAGAUAGCAGUGAAGGGCACACGUGAGAACUGCGAAUCACGGGCUUUGCUUCAUGAAAUGUGAAAUCCACAUUGUUUCCACAGGCACCAUCAGUAAUGUCGAACAAAUGGAGAAAGUUGCAGGUGGGGCUAGGAAAGCUGUAUUCCUGUGGAUUACUCUAGCUGGUCAUUUGCCCCGAUUGUGAACUGCUUGAAAGAAAAACGAAACUUCUAAGAUGUUUGUCCUUUCAUGUCCUUUCUGUUGGGAUUUUUUAUUUGGUGUGCGUGAAUGAGGAGCUUCGCCCUGCUUGAAUGGGACCCCUCUCAGUGGUGUCAGCUUGGGGAGGAGGAGAUGGCCCUGGAGACUAAAUACUUGUAUGCUUUCUUACCCUCUUAGGUCUCAGCCUUAGAUCCAAGGACAGUCCAAGGAAGUCCUAAGACCAUGGAGUUGGUGAUCUGGGAUCUGGGUUUGCUGAUAUUUCUCACCGUGAAUCUCUUGGUGGUGUUUGUGGGCACGAGAGGGGCAGAGAAUGGAGAGUGAGGCUACCACAUGAAGCGUCACCAGAGCUGCUCCCUGCUGCCUGCUCAGAGCACCCCGGAUCCACUGUUCAAUCUGCACAAGAUUCGGGGUCCAGACAUGGGAGACUUCAGCUGCCUCAGAGGACCGUGGACAGGGAAGGCCAGCCUCGCAUCCCUCUGUCCAUGCCUGGAAUGACUUUAAUAACCAAGAGUUUUAUUUUUGAAUUUGUAGCUGUCGUUCACUUUUUACCCACCCAUUCAAUAAACCUUACAGAAUUGCUCCAUGUGCUUCUUAAAUCAGUGACAACCUGUGAGCCUGCCAGGCUGGCUUUGGAGAAGCGUCUCGCUGCUGACUCCCAGGCUGGAAUACUCUGGCGUGAUCUUUGCUCACUGCAACCUCCACCGCCUGGGUUCAAGCGAUUCUCCUGCCUCAGCCUCCUGAGUAACUGGGACUACAGGUGAUGCUGAUGCUGCUGUUCAGAGGACCACAUUUUGAGAACCACUGACCUCACCCCCAAACCAGCUUGGAGAUGAUGCACCCCAUCCCAGUAUAAUAUUUUACUCUUCAUAUCAGACGGAGUCUCACUCUGUCACCCAGGCUGGAGUGCACUGGCGUGAUCUCAGCUCAUUGCAACUUCUGCCUCCCGGGUUCAAGUGAUUCUCAUGCCUCAGCCUCCCCAGUAGCUGGGAUUACAGCAUCCCCCUUGGGAGGAUGAGGAAGAAGGUCACAUUCUCAGGAUGGUGGAGAAAAAAGCUAGAAGGAGACUGGGUACCUGAUGUCCGUGGUGCUGCCCUGUUAGCUCUGGACUGCCUUUCUUCAAAUUCCUUAUUAAGAAAAACAACCUCUGUCUUGACUGAUAUGCUUUUAUUUGUUUUUUUGUUUGUUUGUUUUUUGGUUCCCUGCAGUUGAAUUUAAUUCCCAACUGAUAUAAUUAUGUUUAGUGCAAAGGCUCAACUGGGUAUGAUUGUCAUGAGAUCACUUCAGCCAAUAAACAGAAAUUAUGAUAAUUUUUUUUUUUAAUUUUUUUGCUGUGGUCUCUGUUGCCUAGGCUGGAGUGCAGUGGCGCAAUCAUAGCUCACUGCAGCCUCAAACUCCUGGGCUCAAACCAUCCUCCCACCUCAGCCACACAAAGCACUGGGAUUACAGAUGUGAGCCACCACGCCCAGCCAGAAAUCACUUUUCAUAAUUUACACACAUUGACUUUCUUAGAUGACAGGUAAGUAAUGAUUAUAAAAGCAGCAUUUCUGAGCACUUUUUACCCAAUAUAUUUUUUAAAAGUUUAGUAUCUAACACAUAUACAAAAAUGCACAAAUCAUAUGUUGUACAGCUCAAAGAAUUUUCACAAGGUGGACACAAACAUGUAACCACCCAGAUCAAGAAAUAACAUUACUUGCACCCUGGAAGCACCCCCUCAAUCUCCCAUUCAGUCAGCACUCCUACAAAGGAAACUGCUAACUGACUUUUAAUGACACAGAUUAGUUUUGCCUAUUUUUGAAUGUUACAUAAAUGGCAUCGUAUAGCAUGUGGUCUUUUGUGUCUGGCCUCUGUCAACAUUAUGUUUGUGAAUUCCUUCAUGUUAUUGUCCUGGGAAGACACAGGCCAAGCUCAAAUCCAGAGGAGCAGCUGGAGGGAAAUGGUGCAUGUGAAAUGAACAGGCAUUACUUUUCACUGGUGCAUGCUGGGAGGAGGUGAUCCAUGGCCAGGUUGUGUAGCUGCCAGCCCAUCACAUUCAUCAGGAAGCUCAUCUGCAACUCCGAUACACAGAGUCAAGGCUCUGGGGUCAGAAGGACAGCUGAGAUUCUCUAGACAAUAAGUAUCAUUUGGACUCACAAACCUCUUGAAUCAUUGUAAUGAUCCUCUGGCACUUUGCAGAAAAUAAGUUCUACCCUCUGUACAUAAAAAGGUGUGUUCGGCCAGGCAUGGUGGCUCAUGCUGGUAAUCCCAGCACUUUGGGAGGCCGAGGCGGGCAGAUCACUGGAGGUCAAGAGUUCGAGACCAGCCUGGCCAACGUGGCAAAACCCAUUCUCUACUAAAAAUACGAAAAUUAGCUGGUUGUGGUGGCGUGUGCCUGUAAUCCCAGCUACUCGGGAGGCUGAGGCAGGAGAAUCGCCUGAACCCGGGAGGCAGAGGUUGCAGUGAGCUGAGAUCGCACCACUGCACUCCAGCCUGAGUGACAGAGUGAGACUCCAUCUCAAAAAAAAGGAAAAAGAAGAAAAAGAAAAGAUGUGUUCAACUCAAUAUGGACCAGCCCU
rnacentral:lncRNA from 1 species